GUGAACAUGAUGAACCUGUUUAUCCAUUCUCUGAGUGCUGUUGGGCCUUAGCCUUGCAGCCCUCUGGGCCAGUUCUUGACCCAGAGGGUUCAGUAACCUGGCCAUGCGUGGUAACCCUAGUGUUCUACUGGGGUAACUGCGUGGUGGACAGACUCGCUGUCGCAUGGGCAAAUGGCUUGACCACAACUAAGACGAGUUUAAACAUCUGAUUAC